rnacentral:rRNA from 1 species
ACGGGAGGCAGCAGUGGGGAAUAUUGCACAAUGGGCGAAAGCCUGAUGCAGCGACGCCGCGUGAACGAUGAAGUAUUUCGGUAUGUGAAGUUCUAUCAGCAGGGAAGAUAAUGACGGUACCUGACUAAGAAGCACCGGCUAAAUACGUGCCAGCAGCCGCGGUAAUACGUAUGGUGCAAGCGUUAUCCGGAUUUACUGGGUGUAAAGGGAGCGUAGGCGGCUUUGCAAGUCUGAUGUGAAAGCCCGGGGCUCAACUCCGGUAUUGCAUUGGAAACUGUAGAGCUAGAGUGUCGGAGGGGUAAGUGGAAUUCCUAGUGUAGCGGUGAAAUGCGUAGAUAUUAGGAGGAACACCAGUGGCGAAGGCGGCUUACUGGACGAUUACUGACGCUGAGGCUCGAAAGCGUGGGGAGCAAACAGGAUUAGAUACCCUGGUA